GGAGGCUGAGUAUGUUGUAGAUGUGUAGGAUGCAUUCUGAUUUCUUUUAUUAGUUGCAGAACUGGAUAUCGUGCCAUCAGAUGCCAUGACACUAUACUGCAAAGACAAUGACCCCAUAGCUCUUUCUAAGGAGCCAAGGUCUUAUCAAAAAUCUAAACACAUAGAUCAGCGGUAUACGCGACUACCUCGAAUAGAAAUAUAUGGAGGUGGGAAGAGUAGACUCUAUGGAUAAUAUGGUAGACCUACUGAUAAAG
rnacentral:lncRNA from 1 species